AUUGAACGCUGGCGGCAUGCCUAACACAUGCAAGUCGAGCGAGCGGCGGACGGGUGAGUCAUGUAUGGGGACUGCCCGAUAGAGGGGGCUAACUACUGGAAACGGUUGCUAAUACCGCAUACUCUCGGAUAACCCAUAUGGGAUUAGCUAGUAGGUGGGGUAAAGGCUCACCUAGGCGACGAUCUCUAGCUGGUCUGCGAGGAUGAUCAGCAAAACUGGGACUGAGACACGGCCCAGAGGCCAAGGGAGGCAGGAGGGGGGAAUAUGGCACAAUGGGCGCAAGCCUGAUGCAGCCAUGCCGCGUGUAUGAAGAAGGACUUAGGGUGGUAAAGUACGUUCAGCGGGGAGGCGUUACCCGCAGAAGAAGCACCGGCGAACUCCGUGCCAGCAGCCGCGGUAAUAC
rnacentral:rRNA from 1 species